AAGGAACCUUGGAACAUUAGGAGGGAAGAAAGAACGUGGUCAUCUGAAGUGCUUAGGCCUCAAGAGAUCUUGAACAUUUUCACUUGCUCUCCUGGAACCCUGAUGCUGCCACGUGAACAAGCCCAGGCAACCUUACUGGAAGAAGAGAAGCAUCAACUCCAACACAUGAGUGAGGUUAUCCUAGACCAGCCAAACCCCAUCAACCACAAACAUGAGUAAGCCCUGCAGAGACCCACCGAGCCCAAUCCGGAUCAACCAAACCUCCCAGCCUGCUUUAAACUUGGUCUCACUCUGUUGUCCAGGCUGGAGUGCAGUGGAGCAAUCACGGAUCACUGCAGCCUCAACCUCUCCCAGUUCAGGUGAUCCUCCCACCUCAACCUCCUGAGUAGCUUGGACUAUAGGCAUGUACCACCAUGCCCAGCUAGUUCUUCUGUUUUGGGUAGAGACGGGGU
rnacentral:lncRNA from 10 species